UGACCACCUCAAUCGUGCCUUUUC
rnacentral:siRNA from 1 species